ACUCAAAUGAAUAGACGGGGGCCUGCACAAGCGGCGGAGCAUGCGGCUUAAUUCGAUGCGACGCGAAGAACCUUACCAAGGCUUGACAUGCACUGAAAACUCGCAGAGAUGCGGGGUCCUUCGGGGCGGUGUACAGGUGGUGCAUGGUUGUCGUCAGCUCGUGUCGUGAGAUGUUGGGUUAAGUCCCGCAACGAGCGCAACCCUCGUUCCAUGUUGCCAGCACGUUAUGGUGGGGACUCAUGGGAGACUGCCGGGGUCAACUCGGAGGAAGGUGGGGACGACGUCAAAUCAUCAUGCCCCUUAUGUCUUGGGCUGCACGCAUGCUACAAUGGCCGGUACAGAGGGUUGCGAUACCGUGAGGUGGAGCGAAUCCCAGAAAGCCGGUCUUAGUUCGGAUCGGGGUCUGCAACUCGACCCCGUGAAGUUGGAGUCGCUAGUAAUCGCAGAUCAGCAUUGCUGCGGUGAAUACGUUCACGGGCCUUGUACACACCGCCCGU
rnacentral:rRNA from 1 species